UGGGGAAUCUUGCACAAUGGGGGCAACCCUGAUGCAGCGACGCCGCGUGAGCGAUGAAGCCCUUCGGGGCGUAAAGCUCUUUCGACCGGAACGAUAAUGACGGUACCGGGAGAAGAAGCUGCGGCUAACUACGUGCCAGCAGCCGCGGUAAUACGUAGGCAGCAAGCGUUGUUCGGAGUUACUGGGCGUAAAGAGUGCGUAGGCGGUUUUCUAAGUUCGGUGUGAAAUCUCCCGGCUUAACUGGGAGGGUGCGCCGAAGACUGGGAAGCUGGAGGGUGGGAAAGGCAGGCGGAAUUCCUGGUGUAGCGGCGAAAUGCGUAGAUAUCAGGAGGAACACCGGCGGUGUAGACGGCUUGCUAGACCAUAACUGACGCUGAGGCACGAAAGCGUGGGUAGCAAACA
rnacentral:rRNA from 1 species